rnacentral:lncRNA from 1 species
AUUCUCACAUAUGUAAAAUGUCUAUGAAAGGGCAGUUUUGCUCUGAAAAUACCAAAUAAAAAUGGCCUUAAAAUCGAAAUUCCAUCUAAAUCUAAAUAAGCCGAAAGGUGUUUGUGACUCCACCCAUACACUUACUGCUUCAACAAACAUUUCUCUGUGUUAUGAAGAAGGAGGACGAGAAUCAGACUUUCUUUCUGGAAGUCUACCAGCUCAUCAGCACAAACCAUAACAGUUCUGUGAUGCUAAUAGAAGAAAGGGAGGAGUCAGACUUAGGGGAGGGCUACUGUGAAACAAUUUCCGUGGAUU